rnacentral:rRNA from 94 species
GAGUUUGAUCUUGGCUCAGAUUGAACGCUGGCGGCAUGCCUUACACAUGCAAGUCGAACGGCAGCACGGGAGCUUGCUCCUGGUGGCGAGUGGCGAACGGGUGAGUAAUGCAUCGGAACGUAUCCUGGAGUGGGGGAUAACGUAGCGAAAGUUACGCUAAUACCGCAUAUUCUGUGAGCAGGAAAGCGGGGGACCUUCGGGCCUCGCGCUCUUGGAGCGGCCGAUGUCGGAUUAGCUAGUUGGUGAGGUAAAGGCUCACCAAGGCGACGAUCCGUAGCAGGUCUGAGAGGAUGAUCUGCCACACUGGAACUGAGACACGGUCCAGACUCCUACGGGAGGCAGCAGUGGGGAAUUUUGGACAAUGGGGGCAACCCUGAUCCAGCCAUGCCGCGUGAGUGAAGAAGGCC